ensembl:lncRNA
UCCUGUGGGUUGUGUCUGGCUGGGAGAGGCUGGUGUCCUGUGGGUUGUGUCUGGCUGGGAUAGGCUGGUGUCCUAUGGGUUGUGUCUGGUGUCCUGUAGGUUGUGUCUGGCUGGGAGAGGCUGGUGUCAUGUGGGUUGUGUCUGGCUGGGAGAUGUGGGUGACCUGUAGGGUGUGUCUGGCGUCCUGUAGGUUGUGUCUGGCUGGGAUAGGCUGGUGUCCUGUGGGUUGUGUCUGGCGUCCUGUAGGUUGUGUCUGGCUGGGAGAGGCUGAUGUCCUGUGGGUUGUGUCUGGCUGGGAGAUGUGGGUGACCUGUAGGGUGUGUCUGGUGUCCUGUAGGUUGUGUCUGGCUGGGAUAGGCUGGUGUCCUAUGGGUUGUGUCUGGUGUCCUGUAGGUUGUGUCUGGCUGGGAGAGGCUGGUGUCCUGUGGGUUGUGUCUGGCUGGGAGAGGCUGCUGUCCUGUGGGUUGUGUCUGGCUGGGAGAGGCUGGUGUCCUGUAGGUUGUCUUGCUGGAAUAGGCUGGUGUCCUGUGGGUUGUGUCUGGUGUCCUGUAGGUUGUCUUGCUGGAAUAGGCUGGUGUCCUGUGGGUUGUGUCUGGUGUUCUGUAGGUUGUGUCUGGCUGGGAGAGGCUGGUGUCAUGUGGGUUGUGUCUGGCUGGGAGAUGUGGGUGACCUGUAGGGUGUGUCUGGCGUCCUGUAGGUUGUGUCUGGUUGGGAUAGGCUGGUGUCCUGUGUGUUGUGUCUGGCGUCCUGUAGGUUGUGUCUGGCUGGGAGAGGCUGGUGUCAUGUGGGUUGUGUCUGGCUGGGAGAGGCUGGUGUCCUGUGGGUUGUGUCUGGCUGGGAGAGGCUGGUGUCCUGUGGGUUGUGUCUGGCUGGGAGAGGCUGUUGUCCUGUGGGUUGUGUCUUGCUGGGAGAUGUGGGUGACCUGUAGGGUGUGUCUGGCAUCCUGUAGGUUGUGUCUGGCUGGGAGAGGCUGGUGUCCUGUGGGUUGUGUCUGGAUGGGAGAGGCUGGUG